UACGUAGGGUGCGAGCGUUAAUCGGAAUACUGGGCGUAAAGCGUGCGCAGGCGGUGAUGUAAGACCGAUGUGAAAUCCCCGGGCUUAACCUGGGAACUGCAUUGGUGACUGCAUCGCUCGAGUAUGGCAGAGGGGGGUAGAAUUCCACGUGUAGCAGUGAAAUGCGUAGAGAUGUGGAGGAAUACCGAUGGCGAAGGCAACCCCCUGGGUCAAUACUGACGCUCAUGCACGAAAGCGUGGGGAGCAAACAGG
rnacentral:rRNA from 1 species